rnacentral:piRNA from 1 species
UGGGCAAAUAUAUGGAAUGGAAAGCGC